rnacentral:rRNA from 1 species
UACGGGGGGGGCAAGCGUUGUUCGGAAUUACUGGGCGUAAAGGGCUUGUAGGUGGCCAACUAAGUCAGACGUGAAAUCCCUCGGCUUAACCGGGGAACUGCGUCUGAUACUGGAUGGCUUGAGUGUGGGAGAGGGAUGCGGAAUUCCAGGUGUAGCGGUGAAAUGCGUAGAUAUCUGGAGGAACACCGGUGGCGAAGGCGGCAUCCUGGACCAAUACUGACGCUGAGGAGCGAAAGCUAGGGGAGCAAACGGG